UUAUGGCUCAGGAUGAACGCUAGCUACAGGCUUAACACAUGCAAGGUCAGGGGCAGCGAGAGGAAAGCUUGCUUCCUUGUCGGCGACCGGCGCACGGGUGAGUAACGCGUAUCCAACCUUCCCCAUAGUAGGGGAUAGCCCGGCGAAAGUCGGAUUAAUACUCUAUGUUGUGUCAUGAGGACAUCUGAAUAACACUAAAGAUUUAUCGCUAUGGGAUGGGGAUGCGUCUGAUUAGCUUGUCGGCGGGGUAACGGCCCACCGAGGCGACGAUCAGUAGGGGUUCUGAGAGGAAGGUCCCCCACAUUGGUACUGAGACACGGACCAAACUCCUACGGGAGGCAGCAGUGAGGAAUAUUGGUCAAUGGGCGGGAGCCUGAACCAGCCAAGUAGCGUGCAGGAUGACUGCCCUAUGGGUUGUAAACUGCUUUUAUCAGGGAAUAAAGUGAGGCACGUGUGCCUUUUUGUAUGUACCUGAUGAAUAAGGACCGGCUAAUUCCGUGCCAGCCGCUGC
rnacentral:rRNA from 1 species